UAGAUUUGGGUGGCGGACGGGUGAGUAACGCGUACAGAACUUGCCUCACAGCUAGGGACAACAUUUGGAAACGAAUGCUAAUACCUGAUAUUAUGAUUUUAAGGCAUCUUAGAAUUAUGAAAGCUAUACGCACUGUGAGAGAGCUUUGCGUCCCAUUAGCUAGUUGGAGAGGUAACGGCUCACCAAGGCGAUGAUGGGUAGCCGGCCUGAGAGGGUGAACGGCCACAAGGGGACUGAGACACGGCCCUUACUCCUACGGGAGGCAGCAGUGGGGAAUAUUGGACAAUGGACCAAGAGUCUGAUCCAGCAAUUCUGUGUGCACGAUGACGUUUUUCGGAAUGUAAAGUGCUUUCAGUUGGGAAGAAAAGAAUGACGGUACCAACAGAAGAAGUGACGGCUAAAUACGUGCCAGCAGCCGCGGUAAUACGUAUGUCACGAGCGUUAUCCGGAUUUAUUGGGCGUAAAGCGCGUCUAGGUGGUUAUGUAAGUCUGAUGUGAAAAUGCAGGGCUCAACUCUGUAUUGCGUUGGAAACUGUGUAACUAGAGUACUGGAGAGGUAAGCGGAACUACAAGUGUAGAGGUGAAGUUCGUAGAUAUUUGUAGGAAUGCCGAUGGGGAAGCCAGCUUACUGGACAGAUACUGACGCUGAAGCGCGAAAGCGUGGGUAGCAAACAGGAUUAGAUACCCUGGUAGUCCACGCCGUAAACGAUGAUUACUAGGUGUUGGGGGUCGAACCUCAGCGCCCAAGCAAACGCGAUAAGUAAUCCGCCUGGGGAGUACGUACGCAAGUA
rnacentral:rRNA from 1 species